UUUGAGGCGCCCAAACCAAACCAAGGCUUUAAAUUGAAUUAGGGUUUCAUUUUGACGAACAGUGUGUGCGGGAAGGAGGCGGCUGACGGUGCAAGAGGGUGAGAGGCAUUCAGUACUAAUCCGCCGGAAUGGGUAUCUCCAGGGAUUCCUUGCACAAGAGGCGAGCCACCGGCGGCAAGAAGAAGGCGUGGAGGAAGAAGAGAAA